rnacentral:lncRNA from 1 species
CUCAGAGGCCCUGAGCCAACCUGUGGGUGGUGGGAAUUAUUUUUGUGCAAGCUAAGAAAGAGUGGAGAAGGGAUAUGGUUCUACUGUGGGUGACAUUAGGAAAGGAAAGAGAUGAUUCCUUCCCUGUGAGUGUGUGAGAUCUUGGGUGUGGAUAGUUGUGUAAGACUGCUGCUGAUGCAUGGAAAUGGGCCAUCCUCUGUUAAUUCUGCAUGAAAAUGCUUUCCAAUUUGGGGAGAUAUUGUAUACUGUGCUGGUUAGGUUACAGGUCAAACUCAGCAUUCAACGGAACC